AUUAAACGCUGGCGGCAUGCCUUACACAUGCAAGUCGAACGGCAGCACGGGGGCAACCCUGGUGGCGAGUGGCGGACGGGUGAGUAACACAUCGGAACGUUCCCUGGAGUGGGGGAUAACGCAGCGAAAGCUACGCUAAUACCGCAUAUUCUGUGAGCAGGAAAGCAGGGGAUCGCAAGACCUUGCGCUUUGGGAGCGGCCGAUGUCGGAUUAGCUAGUUGGUGGGGUAAAGGCUUACCAAGGCGACGAUCCGUAGCGGGUCUGAGAGGAUGAUCCGCCACACUGGGACUGAGACACGGCCCAGACUCCUACGGGAGGCAGCAGUGGGGAAUUUUGGACAAUGGGCGGAAGCCUGAUCCAGCCAUGCCGCGUGAGUGAAGAAGGCCUCG
rnacentral:rRNA from 1 species